UACGUAGGAGGCAAGCGUUGUCCGGAAUUACUGGGCGUAAAGCGCGUGUAGGUGGUGGGACAAGUCUGCUGUGAAAGCGCCUGGCUUAACCGGGCGAGGUCGGCGGAAACUGUCGCACUCGAGGACGGUAGAGGGGGGUGGAAUUCCCGGUGUAGUGGUGAAAUGCGUAGAGAUCGGGAGGAACACCUGUGGCGAAGGCGGCUCACUGGACCGGUACUGACGCUGAUGCGCGAAAGCGUGGGGAGCAAACGGG
rnacentral:rRNA from 1 species